AGUGAACGCUGGCGGUAGGCCUAACACAUGCAAGUCGAACGGCAGCACAGUAAGAGCUUGCUCUUACGGGUGGCGAGUGGCGAACGGGUGAGGAAUACAUCGGAAUCUACUUUUUCGUGGGGGAUAACGUAGGGAAACUUACGCUAAUACCGCAUACGACCUACGGGUGAAAGCAGUGGAUCUUCGGACCUUGCGCGAUUGAAUGGGCCGAUGUCGGAUUAGCUAGUUGGCGGGGUAAAGGCCCACCAAGGCGACGAUCCGUAGCUGGUCUGAGAGGAUGAUCAGCCACACUGGAACUGAGACACGGUCCAGACUCCUACGGGAGGCAGCAGUGGGGAAUCUUGGACAAUGGGCGCAAGCCUGAUCCAGCAAUACCGCGUGGGUGAAGAAGGCCUUCGGGUUGUAAAGCCCUUUUGUUGGGAAAGAAAAGCAGCAGGUUAAUACCCCGCUGUUCUGACGGUACCCAAAGAAUAAGCACCGGCUAACUUCGUG
rnacentral:rRNA from 1 species